rnacentral:rRNA from 1 species
GAUGAACGCUGGCGGCGUGCCUAAUACAUGCAAGUCGAGCGAACAGACGAGGAGCUUGCUCCUCUGACGUUAGCGGCGGACGGGUGAGUAACACGUGGAUAACCUACCUAUAAGACUGGGAUAACUUCGGGAAACCCGAGCUAAUACCGCAUAAUAUAUUGAACCGCAUGGUUCAAUAUUGAAAGACGGUUUUGCUUUCACUUAUAGAUGGAUCCGCGCCGCAUUAGCUAGUUGGUAAGGUAACGGCUUACCAAGGCAACGAUGCGUAGCCGACCUGAGAGGGUGAUCGGCCACACUGGAACUGAGACACGGUCCAGACUCCUACGGGAGGCAGCAGUAGGGAAUCUUCCGCAAUGGGCGAAAGCCUGACGGAGCAACGCCGCGUGAGUGAUGAAGGUCUUCGGAUCGUAAAGCUCUGUUAUUAGGGAAGAACAAAUGUGUAAGUAACUAUGCACGUCUUGACGGUACCUAAUCAGAAAGCCACGGCUAACUACGUG